UACGUAGGGUGCGAGCGCUAAUCGGAAUUACUGGGCGUAAAGCGUGCGCAGGCGGUUCGUUGUGUCUGAUGUGAAAGCCCCGGGCUCAACCUGGGAAUGGCAUUGGAAACUGGCGAGCUAGAGUGUGGCAGAGGGGGGUGGAAUUCCGCGUGUAGCAGUGAAAUGCGUAGAGAUGCGGAGGAACACCGAUGGCGAAGGCAGCCCCCUGGGCUGACACUGACGCUCAGGCACGAAAGCGUGGGGAGCAAACAGG
rnacentral:rRNA from 1 species